GCCCUUGAGCUGCUGCUUGGCCCGCUCCCACACUGUUGAGUGUACUUUCAUUUUUAAUAAACCCUUGCUUUUGUUCUUUCAUUGCUCCAUUUUUCCCUUGCUUUUCUGUGUGUUUUCUCCAAUUCUUUGUUCAAAAACGCCAAGAACCUAGACAACUUUCAGUCAAAACCCUCUACUGGUAACAUAUUUUGGCAAGCCAGCCAGGAGAGAAGAUCCCUACCUGUGUCUGGGUUGGCAGCAGCAGCAGCUCAUCCAGGGCAAACUCACACGUUUCAGACCACUGUGGGCAACUCUCUACCUAUUCCACCUGAUUCCCCGCUCGGCUACGUCCUCCACCAUUGCGAUCAAUUUGACCCUGACAAUCUAAAGAGAAAACAUAUAAUUUUUUUCUGCAGUACUGUCUGGCUCCAUUAUGAGCUGCCCAGCCUGGAAAAAAUGGGUAGUCAAUGGUAGCCUUAAUUAUGACAUCAUCCUGCAAUUAGACCUAUUUUGCAAGAGACAGAGCACAUGGUCAGAAAUCUUGUACAUGCAGACUUCCAUGACGCUUUACCAAAACCUAACAAUCUGUGAAACUCCCAGAACCCACCCCACAAAGGAAAGUUCUAAGGGAGAACUACAUAUUAUAGAUGACCCCCUCUUACAAGGGCCACCUGUCUCUCAGAGUGAACAGUGACCACCCCCAUAUAGCCCCUUGCAAGUGCUCCUGAGGCUCAACCCCAGGAGCAAACACCAGAGACCCUACUAAGUCCCCCUCACAUUCGGAGGGGAACCCUGUAUUCAGCUCUUCUUCCAGCCCUGCUACACCUUAGGGAAGUAGCAGGAGUUGAGGGGCCAGUCCUAGUGCAGGCCCCCUUCUCUAUAACUAAUAUUCAACAAUGUAAGGAAAAGCUAGGAAGCUGUUCUGAGAAUCCUAGGAAAUUUGCAGAUGAGUUCCACACUUUGACCUUAGCCUUUGAUCUCUCAUGGAGAGAUGGUCAAUUCAUUCUAGCAACCUGUUGGCACUCCCUCAGGAAAGGAACAAAUCUUUGAGGCUGCCAGCAGGGAAGUGGAUGAAUUAUCCACCUGAAACCCUCAGGGCAAUUACCGAGGCCCAGACACAGUUCCCACUACUGAUCCUAAUUGAAACUAUAACGCCCCCAUGGGAAUGAACCACCUGGCUAAAUUUCUUGAGGCUGUCCUUGGAGGAAUGAGAAAGGGAUUAACUAAGGCAGUAAAUUAUGAUAAAGUAAGGGAGGUUACAUAAGGCAAGGAGGAAAAUCCAGCCAUGUUUUAUGGUAGGCUGGAGGAAGCCUUUAAAUAUAUACUAAUCUGGACCCUUCUUCUCCCGAAGGCAAAAUAUUAAUGGCACAGCAUUUCAUUAGCCAAUCUGCCCCAGAUAUCAGACGUAAACUCCAAAAGCUACAGAUGGGGCCACAAGCUAAUCAAAAUCAGCUUCUUAAUACUGCCUUUAUGGUGUAUAACAAUAUGACCUGGAGGAAGGAAAAAGAGAACAGAGUAAAGAAAGACGGCAAGCCAAAAUUAUGGCAGCCAUCAUUGGUGAUGCCCUGAAUGCCCAAAGAGCAUCUAAGGGAAACCCGAAGGACUAUAAAGAUAAUACCAGCAAAGGCAAGUCUUGCUUCAAAUGCAAGAAAAGCGGGCAUUGGGCAAAGGAAUGUACUAAGCCCCCGCCCUCCAGCUCCCCUCAGGCCCCUGCUGUCAACGCAAAGGCACCAGUCACGAACCCUGGCACUGGAGAAUUGAUUGCCUCUGCUCCCACUGAGGGGCUGGGUUAGGCAAAACUCUAGCAGUGCGAAAGGAGGAAUCAGAUGAAGACUGAAGGGGCCCGGGGUCUUCCUCACUGCCCCUGUCCAGGAACUUUGUAAUUACUACUGGGGAGCCUGGAGUAACUCUGGAUGUCACGGGCACCCAAAUUCAGUUUCUUUUUGUUACAGGGGCAAAUUACACUGUCCUUACUGCUUAUGCAGGGAAACUUCCCUCCUGGUCCAUGAGUGUUAUGGGAAUGGAAGGGAAGCCACAAACCAGAUUUUUUACUCCUCCUUUGAUUUGUCAAUUUGAGAAACGAAUCUUCCAACAGGAGUGCCUAGUAGUAUCAAGCUACGCAAUCCCCCUGCUGGGAAGAGAGAUUAUGGUUAAAAUAAGGGCACUACUACAAUUUAAGCAUCACCCAGUGAAAUUGCUAAUAGUCAAAAAUACAGACAAUGUCCAAGACCACAUUAAUAAACAGGUUAACCUGCUGGCAUUGUAUACUAGAAAACUGAGGAAGGCUAAAACAGCAGUGCCAGUCAAAAUACAGCUUGAAGACCCCAGCUGUUUUCCCAGUCAAAAAUAACACCCAAUUAAGCAGGAAGUAAGAAAUGACCUAGCACCCAUAGUUGAGGUAUUACUUACCCAUGGGCUCUUAAAACCCUGUAAUUCUCCCUGCAAUACCCUCAUCUUACCUGUUCUAAAGGCUUCAAGGGAAUACUGGUUAGUAAGAACAGUUAAUAAAGAAUCAAGGAGGACAAAAAGAAGGAUCCUCUUAGUAUAUGGGGUCAAAAAUAUAUCUCCCUCAGACAGCCCAGUGGAAAGUUAUAAAAACCCUGCCUGAUUCUUUCCAUGUUGGGAGGGAUGCAACUCUGAUUAUGGUAAACAAGCUCUUUACUGGGUCUAACUUCAGUGGCUAAGCAGGUCUACAAAGCCUGCUAACUCUGUGCACUUAACAAUCCAGGAAACAAAAUCCUCCUCUAAUAGAACCAGUCCAGAGGAGAGGAAAGUUUCCAGGGGAAGACUGGCAAUUAGACUUCACCUAUAUGCCAGCUUGCAGAGGGUACAAGUUUUUGUUAGUACUAGUAGAUACCUUUACUGGUUGGGUUGAAGCUUAUCCUACCAGAACACAGAAGGCUAAUGAGAUUAUAAAGGUUCUCUUAAAAGAAAUAAUCCCCUGGUUUGGGUUACCUCAGAGCCUCCAAAGUGAUAACGUCCUGUCCUUUAUCUCCAAAUAACUUGAGUGGUUGCUAAGGCUCUUGGAAUCAAAUACCAUUUAUAUUCAGCAUGGAGGCCUCAAUCCUCCAGGAAAGCAGAAACAGGUAACCAAACUCUAAAACAGGUGUUAGCUAAGCUACGUCAGGAAGCAUCAGAAACUUGGGUCAGCUUACUGCUCAUUGCCCUCUUAAGGAUCCAUAAUACCCCAGAGCAAAAAUUAAUAUAAGCGAAUAUAACGAAAUGUUAUACAGAAGGCCAUUCUUAACUAAUAAUUACUGAUCCAGAAACAGCCAGUAAAAUACCUAGUCAACCUAGGACAAUUUCAGCAGGCUUUACAAAAGUGUGGAAUUCAAAGGCUCCCCAUACUGGGAACUAACUAGCGACCCUAAAUCAGGCCAGGAGAUAAGGUACUUGUUAAAACACGCAAGGAGGGAUCAACUGUUCAACAAUUACAACCCAAAUGGAAGGGACCAUGUUCAGUAAUACUGGCUAUGCCUUCUGCCAUCAAAGUACAAGGAUUAGAUUGGGUACAUCUUUCAAGGAUCAAGCCAGCAAUACCAGAAGAUCCGGACCAGGAACCUGAAGUUUCCAUCAGCCACUACACCUGUGAACCUGUGGAAGCCCUGAAGUUCCUGUUUAAAAGACAGCCAAAAGAUGAGUAAAUGCCUACCAAUUUUCCUUGGUGCCUUUGUUGCAUAAUUACCGUAGGCUGGAUAAUAGUAGUCAUUUAUUUUAUUUUUGCAGUUUAAUUGCCUUCUUCCAAAUGGAUAGAAUCACUUCCUUUGUAGUAAUUAAGUUGAAUGUUUUAAUACAUUUUUAUAACAAACAUUCCUGACAGCAUAGGUAUCCACACCCAAAGUUCCCAUUAAGUCUUUUAACCGAAUUCAUUUCCUCUCGCAUAGAGACUAUCAAGCCUCAGAUGAUCAUGCAACAAGGUUUCCAGCCAGUUCCAAGUGAAGACACCACCCCUGGCCAUCAAGAAGCCACCCUAUCUUCACUAGACAGAGUAGGGAGAGAGUUCCAUGAUCUCCAACAGAUAAGGACUACUCCCAAGUCAGCAUGAAGCAGUUACAGAAGAAAGUCCAUCAGUCCCUCUGCCUCCCAUAAAGAUUUAUGGGGAUCACGUCUCUCAGGGAUGAGAUGAGGCAGGAGAACAGGUCUGGAGGAAGGGAACCUAAGGUUGUUUCACAAUGACUUCCUAGAACUAAACUGAAACGAAAACCCUAACUUUCCACACCUAAGUAACAAAAGGACCAGAGACUACUGCCUUUGCAAACCCUCACCUUGUCUGCACAGCAGAUGGGAAAUUAAAAGUGCCUCUGA